UUGUUUCAGGGAGAAGCUUUGGUUCACUAAAGAAUUCGCAGAAUUUCUUAAAGGCAGCUAAACCCAUGUUCCUUUACCUAAGUGAUAUUGUAGAUAGAGCACUGGUCCUAGAUUCUUGAAGACGACUUCUUCUUCAGAAACUAUAAUAUGAAGAGUCCAAAUGUAGAUACUGAAACUGCAAGAGACACUUCAUACAAUGAGCUCAAAGAGAGAAUCAUAUAGGACAAACAUGGACACAGACAGAAACAGAAAAAUAACCACUCAUAAGAAGAAACACCUUCAUGGAAUAUAACUCCUUGUGAAGAAUUCUAUCUACCAACUCAAGAAAGGGCUCCUAGUAAUCAAGUAUGAUAAGGUCAUAUGAGAUAAUGUGUAUAAAACCAUACCUAUACAGAGAUACAUCCAUCCAUUCAUCCAUCUGUCUGGCCAUCUGUCCGUCCGUCUUUCUCUUCUCUGGAUAGAUAUGUCCAGUGUGUAUGGUGUUUGACCCUAUGAAGACAUGGGAUAAUCACAGAGUUGAUAUAUUGAUAUACAGAUGAUACAAUUGAAUAAAUUUGUAAAUGUGUUAGUUUUAUGGUUGGAC
rnacentral:lncRNA from 1 species